rnacentral:sRNA from 1 species
UUUUUUUCGUUUUUUUUU